CCUACGGGAGGCAGCAGUGAGGAAUAUUGGUCAAUGGCCGAGAGGCUGAACCAGCCAAGUCGCGUGAGGGAUGACGGCCCUACGGGUUGUAAACCUCUUUUGUCGGGGAGCAAAGAGAGUCACGUGUGGUCCAUUGAGAGUACCCGAAGAAAAAGCAUCGGCUAACUCCGUGCCAGCCGCCGCGGUAAUACGGAGGAUGCGUGCGUGAUCCGGAUUUAUUGGGUUUAACGGGUGCGCAGGGGGAGGGAAAAGUCAGUGGGAAUAUUGCGGGGCUCAACCCCGUACUGCCGUUGACACUGUAUGCCUUGAGUGCGCGAGAGGUGUGCGGAAUGCGUGGUGUAGCGGUGAAAUGCAUAGAUAUCACGCAGAACUCCGAUUGCGAAGGCAGCAUACCGGCGCGCAACUGACGCUCAUGCACGAAAGCGUGGGUAUCGAACAGGAUUAGAUACCCCAGUAGUC
rnacentral:rRNA from 1 species